GCAUUACCACCGACCAGUCCUCAGCCGGCAACAUGAAGCUGGGUGGCCUCUGCCUCCUGCUCCUCCUCGCCGUCCUUCUCACCCUCAAUGCAGAGCUCCAGGCAGUUGAUGUAGGUAUCUGUGUGACGGAGUGCAAGGUAGACCAGGACUGUGGGGCAGGAAGACGAUGCACCAGCAAUGGAUGUGGCCGGGUCUGCUCCCCAAUCCAGCAAAGAGAGGCCUGCGAGCACCAGUGCAGAGAAGACAGGGACUGUGGGAGUGGACAUCAGUGCGUGAGGAAGGGCUGUGGGCACGUCUGCGCCCCCGUCCAUCAAGUCGAGAUGUAGGUAUCUGUGUGACGGAGUGCCGUGUAGACCAGGACUGUGGGGAAGGAAGACUAUGCAUCAGUAAUGGGUGUGGCCGUGUCUGCUUCCCAGUCCGGCGAAGAGAUGUAGGUAUCUGUGUGACGGAGUGCCGUGUAGACCAGGACUGUGGGGAAGGAAGACUAUGCAUCAGUAAUGGGUGUGGCCGUGUCUGCUUCCCAGGGCGAAAAGAGGGCUGCGAGCACCAGUGCAGAGAAGACAGGGACUGUGGGAGUGGACAUCAGUGCGUGAGGAAGGGCUGUGGGCACGUCUGCGCCCCCGUCCAUCAAGUCGGUAUCUGUGUGACGGAGUGCAACGUAGACCAGGACUGUGGGGAAGGAAGACAAUGCACCAGCAAUGGGUGUGGCCGUGUCUGCUCCCCAGUCCAGCAAGAAGAUGUAGGUAUCUGUGUGACGGAGUGCAAGGUAGACCAGGACUGUGGGGAAGGAAGACGAUGCACCAGCAAUGGAUGUGGCCGUGUCUGCUCCCCAGUCCAGCAAAAAGAGGCCUGCGAGCACCAGUGCAGAGAAGACAGGGACUGUGGGAGUGGACAUCAGUGCGUGAGGAAGGGCUGUGGGCACGUCUGUGCCCCCGUCCAUCAAGUCGAUGUAGGUAUCUGUGUGACGGAGUGCAAGGUAGACCAGGACUGUGGGGCAGGAAGACGAUGCACCAGCAAUGGAUGUGGCCGUGUCUGCUCCCCAGCCCAGCAAAGAGAGGCCUGCGAGCACCAAUGCAGAGAAGACAAGGACUGUGGGAGUGGACAUCAGUGCGUGAGGAAGGGCUGUGGGCACGUCUGCUCCCCCAUCCCUCAAGUAGGUAUCUGUGUGACGGAGUGCAAUGUAGACCAGGACUGUGGGGCAGGAAGACGAUGCACCAGCAAUGGAUGUGGCCGUGUCUGCUCCCCACCCCAGGGAGGAGGACUCUGUGUGGACCGCUGCCGAGGAAACUGGGACUGUGGGGCCGGAGAAGAAUGUAUCAGGAAGGGAUGUGGACGGGUCUGCUCUCCAGCCCAGGAGCCAGUGGUAGGUAUCUGUGUGGAUCAGUGCCAAAGACACUGGGAAUGUGGUCCACGGAUGCGGUGUGUCUCCACUGGAUGUGGCCACAUCUGCUCACCAGCCCAAGACCAAGUUGAACAGAGACCCGGAAAAUGUCCAGUGUUGCCAAAAGGAACGAUUGGACUUUGUGCUGAAUUUUGCUUCGGGGAUGACUCCUGUCCCAGCGGACAGAAGUGCUGCAGCAAUGGUUGUGGACACUCUUGCCAGACUGCUGUUCCAGACGAGAAAACCUUCCCUAGCCGUUUGGAUGACUGAUGAACCUUGGCCUCCUUCCAUAAUUGUUCCCACAUGUCACCUUUAUUUGAAGAGCUGGGCUUUUCCAGGAACUCCACCUUUGCCAGGAACCCCAGGAUCAUGGGGUGAGGUUCUAGAAUAACUUGGCUUAAGGGUUGAAUUCUGGCAAUUGUUCAAGGAAUAGUGCUUGCAAAGGAUCCUUCUUCUGAAUAAAACGACUUCUCUGGCAUUAU
rnacentral:lncRNA from 1 species